UGGAGAGCCCUGGGGCCGCGCCCGCGCUCUCCCCGGACCACUGCCCCGCAGCUCCGCGGCCUCCUUAGAAUCCGUUUACCGAGCGGCUUCCCGCGGCCCGGAAAGGGCGAGAAUGGCGCAGCGGAGGGAGCGGCGCGGGCGGCGCUGGGGCGACAGCGGCGGGGCUGGAACAGCGCGGGAGUGGACCUACGACUGCUACGAAACGCCUGCUUUCCUAAGACGGUGGCUCCGAGUUCUCCCGAGGGCGACAGGGGACGUCCGCUGGCCUGUGACCUUGGCUUUGGGAGCCUGGGGAGGUCCUGUGCAGCUUCCCAAGAAGAAGCCUUCAGCCCUUCCCUAGGGGUCUGCACUGUUCUGAGGGUGACAUCCCCUGCAAGCCGACUUCUCAUGUCCAGUUUGGCAACGUAUAACACCCAGUGCUCAUCCCAAGCAGAAUGUUUCUCUGGGUUCAGAAGAGACACUGAAAAUCAAGGCCAUCCAGGUGAUGGCCUCCACAAAAGUGGAAGACUACCUUAAAUAAAUAUCGCCUUAUUUCCCUUUGGAUCUUUCUACUUCAAGAAUAAUUAUUGCCCCACACUGGGAUCAAAGAGGGAAAAAAUGAGGAUAGGAAUUUAUUAGCAAUCAAACAAAUUGCAAGUACUGAUAAAAGA